UCGCACAUGCAUGGGAGUAAAGCUUAGAUCAGGCCCAAUAAAAAAAAAAAAUCAAGCACGACCCUACCCGAGCCCGCGCAUGUUGUUUCCGAGCCCAUAGUGGCAGGAAAUAUCACCCCGACCCAGCCCGUGGGUCAAGUUCAGGCUCGGGCAGAGAAUCUGAACUCUACUUGGGAGGGAAAGGGACAAAAAGAAAAGGAGUCUACACUUAAGACUGCUGAGCAGAAACUCUUGCAAGAAGACCUACCAAAAAGCAAGAAGAGAAAGAGGGUACCCAACAAACUUUUCCUUGACACACAGAAGGAAACUGUAGAACAAGUUGCAAUAAAGAAAAAACUACAGACUCAUAGCUGCAAGAAAGUCUGAAUUAGAGGUUCUUUCCCAAGAAGAACCUAACCUCAGCCCAGUGGGGACUGCUUUAGAGGCACUUGAGGAGGAGA